ensembl:miRNA
UAUGGUGCUACUGAGCAUUUUCUUUUGAUAAACAAGGAAAAUGUCCGGGCUGCAGUCGUGUGCCGUCGUUUUCCUCGCUGCAUCCAUUAAUCUGCUUAGAUAACACUAGUGCCAG